rnacentral:rRNA from 1 species
UACGGAGGGUGCAAGCGUUGUUCGGAAUUACUGGGCGUAAAGCGCGCGCAGGCGGCUCAUUAUGUCAGGUGUGAAAGCCCUCGGCUCAACCGAGGAAGUGCGCCUGAAACUGAUUGAGCUUGAGUACGAGAGAGGAGGACGGAAUUCCCAGUGUAGAGGUGAAAUUCGUAGAUAUUGGGAAGAACACCGGUAGCGAAAGCGGUUCUCUGGAUCGAUACUGACGCUGAGGCGCGAAAGCGUGGGGAGCAAACAGG